rnacentral:rRNA from 1 species
AGUGAACGCUGGCGGUAGGCCUAACACAUGCAAGUCGAACGGCAGCACAGUAAGAGCUUGCUCUUACGGGUGGCGAGUGGCGGACGGGUGAGGAAUACAUCGGAAUCUACUUUUUCGUGGGGGAUAACGUAGGGAAACUUACGCUAAUACCGCAUACGACCUACGGGUGAAAGCAGGGGAUCUUCGGACCUUGCGCGAUUGAAUGAGCCGAUGUCGGAUUAGCUAGUUGGCGGGGUAAAGGCCCACCAAGGCGACGAUCCGUAGCUGGUCUGAGAGGAUGAUCAGCCACACUGGAACUGAGACACGGUCCAGACUCCUACGGGAGGCAGCAGUGGGGAAUAUUGGACAAUGGGCGCAAGCCUGAUCCAGCCAUACCGCGUGAGUGAAGAAGGUCUUCGGGUUGUAAAGCCCUUUUGUUAGGGAAGAAAAGCAGCAGGUUAAUACCCCGCUGUUCUGACGGUACCCAAAGAAUAAGCACCGGCUAACUUCGUG